GGCUCGGCGUUGCUGUUCCCUCAUAGUUGAAGCAAGAUUGGGAUCUUGUAGUUCUGAAAGCUCCUCCUGUAACACAUAUAUGAAGCAGAAGCAAAGAAAAGCAUGAAUAAAUUAACCAAAAUUUUUACGAGAAAGUUUGAAACAAUGAGUAUUAUGUUCUGUAAAUUAAUCUACCUCACUAGCUAGAAGCAGGCUGGGGCACUCAUCUGCAAUGG
rnacentral:lncRNA from 1 species